GGGGAAUAUUGCACAAUGGGGGAAACCCUGAUGCAGCAACGCCGCGUGAAGGAAGACGGUUUUCGGAUUGUAAACUUCUGUUCUUAGUGAAGAAUAAUGACGGUAGCUAAGGAGCAAGCCACGGCUAACUACGUGCCAGCAGCCGCGGUAAUACGUAGGUGGCAAGCGUUGUCCGGAAUUACUGGGUGUAAAGGGAGCGUAGGCGGGAUGCCAAGUCAGCUGUGAAAACUAUGGGCUUAACCCGUAGACUGCAGUUGAAACUGGUAUUCUUGAGUGAAGUAGAGGUUGGCGGAAUUCCGAGUGUAGCGGUGAAAUGCGUAGAUAUUCGGAGGAACACCGGUGGCGAAGGCGGCCAACUGGGCUUUAACUGACGCUGAGGCUCGAAAGUGUGGGGAGCAAAC
rnacentral:rRNA from 1 species